rnacentral:tRNA from 1 species
GGUAGACGCUGCGGACUUAAAAUCCGUUGGCUUUAUUGACCGUGAGGGUUCAAGUCCCUCUACCCCCA